rnacentral:misc_RNA from 1 species
AGCAGCCGCGGUAAUUCCAGCUCCAAUAGCGUAUAUUAAAGUUGUUGCAGUUAAAAAGCUCGUAGUUGAAUUUCGGGAUCAAUAUGUUGGUCGUGCCUCGGUACGUACUAGCUUAUUGGUUUCUCCUUUCUGAAGAACCAUGAUGUCAUUUAUUUGGUGUCGUGGGGAAUCAGGACUGUUACUUUGAAAAAAUUAGAGUGUUUAAAGCAGGCUCACGCUUGAAUACAUUAGCAUGGAAUAAUGAAAUAGGACGUUUGAUUCUAUUUUGUUGGUUUCUAGGAUCGACGUAAUGAUUAAUAGGGAUAGUUGGGGGCAUUAGUAUUCAAUUGUCAGAGGUGAAAUUCUUGGAUUUAUUGAAGACUAACUACUGCGAAAGCAUUUGCCAAGGAUGUUUUCAUUAAUCAAGAACGAAAGUUAGGGGAUCGAAGACGAUCAGAUACCGUCGUAGUCCUAACCAUAAACUAUGCCGACUAGGGAUCGGAUGAUGUUGAUUUUUUAAUGA